CACGUAAGGAGCGAGCGUUGUUCGGAAUUAUUGGGCGUAAAGGGCAUGUAGGCGGUUUUUUAAGUCUGAUGUGAAAUACUACAGCUUAACUGUGGGAACGCAUUGGAAACUAAGAGACUUGAAUCAGUGAGGGGUAACCGGAAUUCCUGGUGUAGGGGUGAAAUCUGUUGAUAUCAGGAAGAACACCGAUGGCGAAGGCAGGUUACUGGCGCAUGAUUGACGCUGAGAUGCGAAAGCGUAGGGAGCGAACAGG
rnacentral:rRNA from 1 species